rnacentral:sRNA from 1 species
UCGAUUAAGGUUCGACUCGAGCGGAAGCGAGAGAACGUUGCCAACGGCAACGGCCCGAAGGGCGCGACGCGCCGAGUCAUCCUUCCCCCACCAUAA